GGUACCUCCCACACUGAGGGUCUUCCUGAUUCGAUUAAUAUAACUAAGAACAUUCUUUACAAGCAUGCUCAGAAAUGACUCAUCGAUGAUUCUAGAUCCUGUCAAGCUCAUCAGUAUUAAGCACCACUGAGUUUGCUCAGAUUGGUUCAGUCGGCAGUAUGGUUCUUAGUCCCCAGCACACCAACCCUCUGAGAGUCAUUGAUGUAGGAGCAGGUGAGCAGAUUCUCACUCAGCCAAACAAGAUGGUUGGUCAAGUCUGUUGGGAUUCCAGAAUAGAAUAGAACAAUGGAAUGAUGUGGUCACAGAACAACCUUUUCUCCCUUUUUCUCACUCCUUAUCUUUCUUUCUGUCUGGCAACCCCUCUAACCUCUGCCUCCAGGCACAUUCCCACGAAGAGCUCUUGUCUGGUGCCGAAGUAACCAUUUGGAAACAUUAAAAGGACAGAAAUAUUCUAGAUAUAUCUAAAAGCUGGAGGCUAUAGCUGCUCAAACAGCCGAGAAACUUCUGCAGUUAUUGGUAGAGGAUAAAAGCGAUGGUUGAAGCUACUCUUAGCCAAGUUACUUCUACUUGAGCUAAACGUAUUCUUUGCUCAUUCAAAAUAUUUUGCAACACCACACUCUCCAUUUACAAGCAACAAAAGACCACAUCAGUGAACUCUGGAACUAUUUUCCAGAUGGGCCUGCCUCUGAGAAAAUCCAGAAAUACAAAUGCAACCGGGCAAACUGCAGGAGAAUGGUCAAUCAUGGAGACGCUCUUGCUUCUAGGCUACACGCCUGCCUCGAGUCUGCUCCAGAAGGGAUUUCAUGUCCACAUAGGAUCAGGGAUUGAGACAUGCCAAGCAGUUCGGAUGGUAAGCACUGGCUGUUACUGCUGCUGCUGCUGUUUGCAAUCCUGCAGUGGAUAGAACCCAGGGCCUCACGAAUGCCAGGCAAGUGCCUCAGCUAGUACAGCAUUCCCACCCCCUCCACACGUUUUCGUGCAAACGUUCUACUUAAUAAAGCAUCUGCGUAUUUAGCUUA